rnacentral:tRNA from 1 species
GCGAGAGUGGCGGAAUUGGCAGACGCGCUGGACUUAGGAUCCAGUGGUGCAAACCGUGCGGGUUCGAGUCCCGCCUCUCGCA